AAAGUUAAUUCGAUUAAGAAUUACAAACAAUAUUCGUUUCUUUUUGGCGCUCUGUAAUGACGUGUCAGAUUGGUGAAUCGCGUCCGGUGUGAACAUACCAGCAUCAGUUGAAGCGGCAGGCAGCACGCGUGAACCAGUGGUCUCCUCCUCUUUACUACUUUAGAACAAGAAUGAACAUCAGGGGAGGAUGGAGACAUGAAGCCUGACAGCUUCAGCUGCUUCCAGACGUCAUCUUUAUCUCCGACUUCUGGUCAUGACUGUGACGGUUUGCCAGCACACCUGUAGCGGAAGAGGGCAGAUGUUACGAUCACGCCAACACAUCUGUACGUUUCAUGGACUUUCCAGACGCAUGCAAGCGAAGGCUACAUGAUUACAGUGUAGACUUUCUCUAUGGAAGCAACAGAAAAGAGCCUGUGCAGGACUAGCUUCUCAGUCGUCACACAAAAUGAGUUUUCUUCAGCGAGAUCCCUCCUUAAGCUCUGAGAGUCCAGUGAUGCGGUGAUGGGACGAGUAGUUCUGUGUCAGACUCUUACACAGCCGUUCUCUGGUGUC